UGCCUGCCUCGGUGGCACCGCACCCUGCGGAUGCCGGGGCUGGUGGAGCUGAUCCGGGCCAGUUCGAGGGCUGUUGUGGCCACCAUGCCCGAUGCCAGCUCAGCGGGCAAAGGGCUGGCAAAGCCUUUGGGGACGUGGCUGGGGGGAAGCCGGGGGCUCCCUCUGCUGUGGGUGCCAACCUCCAGGGCUGGGUGCCAGUGCCCGGGGGUGGGCGAAUCCCCGGGGGAUGGAGCAGGCUCGUUCGGGACGGGGCUGGCUCCGCGGGGACGGGGCGCAGCACAAGGGCUGAGCCCCCCAGAGGAUGCGGCGAGCCCCGGGGAUUUGGGGCGGGCACCGGGCAUGGCUGGGGGGGGCCCGGCCGGGGCCGCUCCCGGUGAGGCUGAGCUGCAUUGCCCGGGCAAGUCCCCGCUCCGCCGGCACCGGCACCGGCACCGGCACCGGUACCGGCACCGUCCCGUCCCGACGGCCCCUCCCUGCCCUCACCUCUGCGGCCGGAUCGCCGCAGGCUCCGUCGGAAGAAGUUGCCGAUGGAUGAUGCCAUGGUGGCCCCGGUGCGCCCCCGGUGCGCCCCCGGUGCGGCGCGGCACGGCUCGGCUCGGCACGAGGAAAAUCCCUCCUUUCCUGGAAACCGGAGCGACUCUGGAAGAAUGGCUGCUGCCUUCAGCCAGAAGAAAUCCCCGAAUUCUUUUUUUUUUUUUUUUUUCCAUAUGCACAAAUAUUUUCUGCUUGCUUCCUCUAAGCCAAGCUUCUGACUACGAUCCUGUGCUUCGGUAACGCCUUGACUCUGCUCAGAUGCCUUCUGUGCGCAGAAGAAAAGAGCCGUGUUCCCAGCCACAAACCUCCCCGCUCCCGAGGAAACACUGUCCCUUUGUGCCCCUGGCACAAUCCAGCAAACCUUGCGCUGCUGAAAGAGGUUGAACUUUGAAUAUUCCCACUGAAAGCUCUUUUCUGCAGGAACCCAGCCACCCACCGUGACAACAAACGGGCACAUUGUGGGAUCUGGGGGGCUUCUGGCCACUGCGGAUGCAAAGCUCGCCAUUGCACUGCUCCAUUGCCGCUGCCAAAAUCAUUUCGCUUCACCAAA